rnacentral:lncRNA from 1 species
GUCUUCCAAGGGAACAGAAAAGAAGGCUGUCCUGAGGUUGUCAGUCUGGCCUGACUCAGCACAGCUUGAGCCAGGAUAUUUGGGGUGGUUCUCUUCAAUUAGCUGGAUUCUGUUUUCAUUUCGACGUUAGGAGCGGAAGUUGCUGGGACAGAUUCUGGAAAUGGAGCCAGGGCUAUUUCUGUAUAAGGAGCCAGGAGCAUGGAAAGUUUAAGCAAGUUGCGCAAGGUCAUGGAGCUGAUGAGAGAGAGCUGGGAUUUGAAUUAAGGCAUGGUCUGUUUCCAUACUCCCUGCUCUCUAUCACUAAUUCCCCAUAACUCUAGAAAAUGAAACAGCUACAGAAGGCAGAUUUCCCCAGGACGAGAGAAGGAUAUCCAAUUGCUCAUCAGGGAAGGUGCUAGGUCUCCCAGCCAGACGCCCUCAGAGGCCGGUGUCAAGUCUCCCUCACCUCUGUGAUGUGAAGUCAGCUCGUUCAUGACCUGGGCAGGCAGAGGGUCAGAGGGGCAGAUGGAGCACUCCUGGCCAGAUGAAGGUAAGCCUUGGGGACACCACAGGAGAAAAGCAGGGACCCCGGGAGGGCCAAACACACCCAUCCUCAAAGAGGAAACACAUGCGUGGAGUGGCCCAGACUCACGCACUCUUGCUGGAGGCCGCAUGUGUGAUGCCUGUCCUGGAAGGGCCUGCUGGAAAUGGAGCUCCCCCCAUCAGUAUGCUCAGAGCCAAGUCCUCCGAGCUCCUGCUAUCCUGCCUGCCCUGCCCAAUGCAUUAUUAAUGAGGCAGCCUUCAUUUCCAGUUUUUGGGUAGCUAAUUUGUUCCUACAAUCAUGAUUUCAAAUAUCACAUGAAUAAUUCAGAAAAUGAUUUUACUGUAGUUAGAUAAGCCUGUUAGCUGUCACAUAUCUGAAUAAAUUAGCGUCUCCAUCCCAUGGGGCAUGGAGGGGCGGUGCCGGCCACGCAGCAGGGGCCCUAGCGCCGGCCACCACAGCACUCAGAACUUUACUUUGAGACCAAGGAGGCCUCGGGGCCAAGGGAGUAAUAGGCACCGUAAUUUGUCACGGAGGAGCUUGGUCACUGCUGAGAGUUGGUUGGUCACAAAUGGCAAUUAGUCUCCCCCUCCCAGAUCUGGAUUAGAGAUACACGUGGUUGCUUGCCAAGCCCUAAGCAAUGACCCCUCCAGCUCAGAAAUGCAGACAAGUGUCCUUCCUCUGCAUGUGAAGCAGCCAGCUCUGCCAUGUGGCAGUUAGACAUAGAAAGACCCCCUCCCCACAGCC